rnacentral:rRNA from 1 species
UCAGAACGACUCUCGSCAACGGAUAUCUCGGCUCUCGCAUCGAUGAAGAACGUAGCAAAACGCGAUAUUUGGUGUGAAUUGCAGAAUCCCGUGAACCAUCGAGUUUUUGAACGCAAGUUGCGCCCGAAGCCAUUAGGCCGAGGGCACGUCUGCAUGGGCGUCAC